GUGGGGCAUGAGGUAGUGGGGUGGGUCUUCUGUGCAUGAAAUAGAGAAAAGUUGGUUCCUCUUGGGUGUGAGUUUUUGGUGUGGGUACCCUAGGAUUCUAUCUAGAGUUUUAUGGGAAGAGAGAAAAGAGAGUUAACAGAGUCUUCUUCUCUUCUUCUUCCACCACCUUACCUCCUCCUAAGUGUCCUUCUCUUUCCUGAAAGAGUUUGAGAGAAUCGAAGAAGGAGAGAGAUCGACCAUCAAGAAGGUUUCC
rnacentral:lncRNA from 1 species